rnacentral:lncRNA from 1 species
UUGGGAGGCUGAGGCGGGAGGAUCGCUUGAGCCCAGGAGUUCAAGACCAGCCUGGGCAACUUAGGGAGAUACCCCCGCCCACCGUCUCGCAGGAAAAAAAAGAAAGGAAGAAAAUUAGCCAGGCACGGUGGCUCACGCCUGUAAUCCCAGUAUUUUGGGAGUCCAAGGCAGGAGGAUUGCUUGAGCCCAGCAGUUCAAGACCAGCCUGGGCAACACAGGGAGGCUACCUCUCUCUCAAUCAAUCAAUCAAUCAAUCAAUGCCAGCGUCGUGGCGGGCGCCUGUGGUCCCUGUGGUCCCAGCUACUCUGGAGGCUGAGGCGGAACGAUCGCUUGAGCCUUGGAGGCGGAGGUUGCAGUGAGCUGAGAUCGAGCCACUGCACUCCAGCCUGGGCGACAGAGCAAGACACUGUCUCAAAGAAAAAUAAAUAAAUAAAAUAAGGCCCUCUUUUUCCAGGACCAACAGACUCUGAUGGCAGGGACAAACUGACCCAGCCUAAACUGCCUCGCCUUCCCUGCUCCCGGGAAAGGGGCUUUCCCUGAGGGAAGGUAGCAUCUUGCCAUUUUCUUCCUGCACAGCUUUGCCUUCCCAGGGAUCGGCCCAUUGCCACCUGAGGAAAUGCCUUGGAGUCCAUCUAACCCACAGCCCAGCCCUGUUGAAGCUGCUUCCAUGUUGUGAGAUGCUUUAUGGGUAACAUCCAUGUGGUAAAACAGUGAAGUAGGCCUCUUGCCAACCACCAAUUAAGAAUAACCAUGGAGGAACUGAGUCCCACCAACAGCUACUUGAGUCACUAUGAAAGUGGACUCAUCACUGAUUGAACCUUGGAAUAACGAUAGCCCAAUUGACACCUUGAUUUUAGCCUUGUGAGAUAUUCAGGCAAAGAGAAUGCAGCUAAGCAUUAUCUGAAUUUCUGACUCAUGGAAACUGUGAGAUAAUAAAUGUUUGCUGCUUUAUCCACUAAGAUUUUGGAUAAUUUGUUAAACAAACACAUAACUAAUACACAUACAUACACAACUUGCAAGAUAAAAUAUAACUUUAGAGGAAAAAAGAAGAAAUCAAGCAAGAACUAGAUGCAGUUAACAUAAACUAAGCUCAACAUAUUUCAUUACAGCAUGUGGAAAUUGUAAAGUAUCUUUUUCUCAUAUAUGUUAAGUACUCAGUAAAAAAUUACAGUAUUGCUGAAAUCUGUAUACUGAAGUUGAAAAAGACAAAACUUAGAGGAUAUAUGGGACGUAGUGAAAACAUAAUUGAAAGAUUCAAAAUCAAAAUUUGUAUACCAAUUUGUAUUUUAAGAAAAAUGUAAAGAGUUACAAAAAGUAUGUCCCCUUCUCUGAC